UACGUAGGUGGCAAGCGUUAUCCGGAAUUAUUGGGCGUAAAGAGCGCGCAGGUGGUUAAUUAAGUCUGAUGUGAAAGCCCACGGCUUAACCGUGGAGGGUCAUUGGAAACUGGUUGACUUGAGUGCAGAAGAGGGAAGUGGAAUUCCAUGUGUAGCGGUGAAAUGCGUAGAGAUAUGGAGGAACACCAGUGGCGAAGGCGGCUUCCUGGCCUGUAACUGACACUGAGGCUCGAAAGCGUGGGGAGCAAACAGG
rnacentral:rRNA from 1 species